rnacentral:lncRNA from 1 species
AUUCUUUUUACGAAAAACUAUUUAAUUUUUUGUAAAAAUCUAGAAUGGAGAUGAAUAGAGAGUAUAAGAUCUACACCUCUCUUAGAGUGUACAAGUAAAAUUUUCAUUCGCUCUUCUCAUUGGUUAGAAACUGUUGGUAGCCGAAAUCUUCAAUCCCCGACCCAGUCAAAGAUCUUCCUCGGGAAGCGCGUAGGGAUGCGAAACGGCUGUGGAUAGUGACCCUCGAAAUUUGCGCCCUUCGAUUGGUUAAGCGAUUCGACUGACGAGGGAUCGGGUCAACCGAGUUCGAAACCUCUACAGUAAAUUAGGUUCAGCUGGAAGAGCCGAAUGAACAAAAGAAGUCAGAAUUUCAGCCAAGGAAUGAGCCGAAUAGCUAAUACAGCACAAGAGCUGGACGGCCUGAAGAGCCGAAAACUGUCUUCUAUUGAAAGAGAAACGGAGAAAGUACAGGAACAGGGGUUUUAGUUUACAACGGAGUGAUGCCCAAAGGGCAGACAGACUCCAGGAUGCUAAGUUACAGGAACUACUCCUAUGAAAAAAACAGUAAAUGCGAGAAAGAAAUAUGCAGGAAAAUAAAAGUGGUCUUUUGUGCGCAGGGGCGAAGACCUCUUUUUGGGGUAUUAUUACCCUAUUUAUAGAUAGCCCCCUCGGUCAGUUAUUGUUCUUUACACGAUCGGCCACUAUCUCCUCAUAUUCUGGACCACUUCUAGCCGAUCGAAACCACAUGUAACUGCUUAACUUCCUUCAAUUGGCGCGAUACACUUUUCCGGUGCUCUCGAUACACGACUGAAUGGACGCUUUUGAAGGGAAUAUUCGCACCUAAAUCUCAUCACCGCCUAAUUGGCUCAACAAUUGCCCCCUCGGCAGCUUUCGAAGCAACACUUCGGUAGCUGGCGUGAUCUGAAACACGAUUACUUUUUAACUUCCCGAUAUGGUUUCAUCUCAGCCGUCCCUUUUUCGCUGCCGAAAUCCUGUAAUUGCUUCUAUAAUAAGCGCGAUCCGAGGCGUCGUUCUUGGUCCAAUCACAUUCAAAAAUCUCUGUACCAGUACCAGACGUAAUUCGAGGCGUGACCCUCUGUACGAUUCAAUCUUAGCCGUUUAUUUUUUUUCUUACGGCCCGAUCUCAAUUCUCAUUUUGUCUCAUCUGCGGCAUUAACUAGGUUAUCUUAAUUACCGCCGUCUAUUCAUCAUUAAAGCCGACCUCGAAACUCGUUUCGACGCAACGGUUCAAUACGACGGCCUUUCUUUUUCUCCAAGCUUUUUAUUCUUUUUGUCUCUUCUAUUUCUUCUUCGUCUUCCAUGAAACUUUUCUUUCGCUUCCCCUUCCUUCAUCUUCUCUGAUUUUAUUUUCCACUUGACUUUGUCUCUUUUCCUUU